CCUUGGAGAGGAGUCUGUGUCUAAUAUAGGCUAAGGGAAGAAGACAGUAUCAACUAAUUGGUUACAGCUUCACAAAACAGUGCAAAGAAUACAUUGGUGGCAUAGCCAUGGUGGUGAAAGGGACGAAACUAAAGCAUUUGAAAAUAUUUUGUACCAGAAAUGACUAACUUUGCUUCAGCCAAAGGCAGCUGAAAGAGAUGUGCCUACCUGAGCAAAGCCUGCCAAAAUGAGUGAGAUGGAUCACCCCUGUACGAACAGAAGCAAUCCUCUCUGCAGCCCUGCAUAUUUUGCAUGUAGGGUUUAGCGUGACUUGAGAGCAGACUUAAAGUACUUCUGCCUUCCCAUGAAUUAUGAUUUUUCUUCUUUCUUCUUCUUUUUUUUUUUUUUUUCCAUCAGGAGGAAGAAAAUCUGCCCUGAGCAUCCAUUGUUCCUGCGUGGGUGAUGAAGCGUUCGUUAUGGGAGGUUUGGUCACUCUGCCACUCACUUGCAAGGUGCUGGGAGGCUGCUCUGCAUUCAGCAAUGCUGCAGUACCUCGUGGCUCGAGGUGUGCUUGAUGAACAAAGUUGAACUGGAAUCUUUGAGCAGGAAUCCUUCCAAGCCCAAACACUGGAGAACUGAAGAGUGAAGCGGGAUGUACAUACCUGUGAGCUCCCAGGCUCCUUUGCCUGGCAGACACUGCAGCAAGAUCCAGCAUGGGUGAGAUCUCUCCUAGCUGGCUGAAACUGAUCUGUAUCUGCACAGCUGCUGAAGGUCUAAACCCACUCUAUACCUUUACACUCAUACCCGCUUCAGCAUGACUUCAUGCCACCUAACUAACCCUACAGAAACAAUAGGGUGGUUUCUUUUCAGAUGGCUCAGGUCUGCAAGACAGCUGAGUGCAGGGAGGAGGCAGUGAAGUCUAGUUAAGGUAGCUGGUAUCUCUCAGCACAAGUCCAGUGCUCUGCAUCUUGGGACUAAGCGCUGCUGCUUGCUCCUGAGCCAACAGAUCCUGACUGGCUUCACUAGCUAAAGAGCAGCAUUUUGCUGCACAAGCCACCAUGUCAGCUUUACAGUCAUGGUAAUUUCUCCGUGGCAGGCAGAGGAGCUAGCCCUCAGUGAGGCAUGUGGUCAUGUUAUGCUUCGAACAUAAGCUGAUUUUGCUUUGGAAGUGAGAUACCGCGUUUCUUGGCACCCACACACUGAGCAUUCUCUCCUCUCACACACAUGCAGACAGUAUUCGGCUUUGAAUCCUCUGUGUUGAGAAUAGCGAUAGUCCAUUUUUUUCCCCCCAGAUUUGUUCACCGUGGGUGAUCAGCCAUUUCCAGCUUCUUCAGAGACAAAACCUUUCUCUGCUUUAAUCUUUGAGGGCUGUAGAAGUGACAAUGCAAUGAAAGAUGGGAAUGAAAUUCUCUGCCAGCCUUCAUGCAAUUACUAAGCACUACAUUCAGAAGCUUUACUUCGACAAUAUAUGAAUAAAGGCAGAAACAGCAUUUCA
rnacentral:lncRNA from 1 species